rnacentral:rRNA from 1 species
GGAUUAGAUACCCUGGUAGUCCACGCCGUAAACGAUGUCAACUAGCCGUUGGGUUCCUUGAGAACUUAGUGGCGCAGCUAACGCAUUAAGUUGACCGCCUGGGGAGUACGGCCGCAAGGUUAAAACUCAAAUGAAUUGACGGGGGCCCGCACAAGCGGUGGAGCAUGUGGUUUAAUUCGAAGCAACGCGAAGAACCUUACCUGGCCUUGACAUGCUGAGAACUUUCCAGAGAUGGAUUGGUGCCUUCGGGAACUCAGACACAGGUGCUGCAUGGCUGUCGUCAGCUCGUGCCG